AGUGAACGCUGGCGGUAGGCCUAACACAUGCAAGUCGAACGGCAGCACAGUAAGAGCUUGCUCUUACGGGUGGCGAGUGGCGGACGGGUGAGGAAUACAUCGGAAUCUACUUUUUCGUGGGGGAUAACGUAGGGAAACUUACGCUAAUACCGCAUACGACCUACGGGUGAAAGCAGUGGAUCUUCGGACCUUGCUCGAUUGAAUGAGCCGAUGUCGGAUUAUCUAGUUGGCGGGGUAAAGGCCCACCAAGGCGACGAUCCGUAGCUGGUAUGAGAGGAUGAUCAGCCACACUGGAACUGAGACACGGUAAAGACUCCUACGGGAGGCAGCAGUGGGGAAUAUUGGACAAUGGGCGAAAGCCUGAUCCAGCAAUACCGAGUGGGUGAAGAAGGCCUUAGGGUUGUAAAGCCCUUUUGUUGGGAAAGAAAAGCAGCAGGUUAAUACCCCGCUGUUCUGACGGUACCCAAAGAAUAAGCACCGGCUAACUUCGUG
rnacentral:rRNA from 1 species